UACAGAGGGUGCAAGCGUUAAUCGGAAUUACUGGGCGUAAAGCGCGCGUAGGUGGUUUGUUAAGUUGGAUGUGAAAUCCCCGGGCUCAACCUGGGAACUGCAUUCAAAACUGACAAGCUAGAGUAUGGUAGAGGGUAGUGGAAUUCCCGGUGUAGUGGUGAAAUGCGUAGAUAUCGGGAGGAACACCAGUGGCGAAGGCGACUACCUGGCCUGUUCUUGACGCUGAGGCGCGAAAGCUAGGGGAGCAAACGGG
rnacentral:rRNA from 1 species